UCCUUUAAGAAUUUGAUCCUGGUUCACGAUAAAUGCUAGCGGAGUGCUUAAGACAUGCAAGUCGAACGGAACACACAUUGUAAAGCUUGCUUUACGCCGUGUGUUUAGUGGCGAACGGCUGAGUAACACGUAGGAAUCAACCCCUAACUCGGGAAUAGCCCGGCGAAAGCUGGAGUAAUACCCGAUGUGGAGGAAACUCUAAAGAUUCAUCGGUUAGGGACGAGCCUGCGGCCUAUCAGGUUGUUGGUGGGGUAAAAGCCUACCA
rnacentral:rRNA from 1 species